ensembl:lncRNA
UUUUUUUUUUAUUUUUUAAUUUUUCUUCUGGUUCACAACAUUCCUUUGGAACCAAUAGGAAAUAUUGCAGUUUUAGAUGCCUAAUUUCCAACUUGAUCUUAAAUCACUUAUACAGGUCUAGCAAUUCUCAGGAUCAGAAAUGCAACCUGGGGAAAUGCUUCUCUGAUAAAAGAAAAUUGAAGAACCUUGGAGUGUCCAUGAGAAAUGAACCAUAACCAAAGACAGUUCCUUUGAGAAAAAUUUCAUUGUGAUAAAAACAAGAUUGAGCUAAAAGACAACAUAAUCAGAAGACAGAAAAUGAACACAACAUCUAAAGAACCAGAUAAGACUGUGAGAGACCAGGGAUGGUAUUUAAGAGACUUCCCCCAGCCAGAGGGAAUAAGAUAUGUAGAAUACUGAACCACACUGAUAUCUAUCUAGAGACCUGGGAGAGGAACAGCAACAGUAUACUUGCCACAUCUAAGGAGGGGAGGAGGGGCCCAUCUGUGCUCACCCCACUGCUUCAGGGUCCUUCUAACAAAGAGAUUGUGCUGCGGUGGCCCCAAGAACCUUCCAGCAGGCAAUGCCUGCUGCUUUGGAAGUAUUCAGAAGUUGCAAUGCUGGGAACCAAGAUGUCAGGUUAUUGAAAGGAGAGGAACUACCAGAUAGAACCUGGCUUUGUAGAGCAAAUAAAGGAGGUUCUAGCCUUGACAAGAGGAGUGUGGCCCUUCCUGGAAUCCCUCUGGACACACCCUCCUAGCAUCCUCUAGGAAAGAUGCGGCAGCUCAAAGGGAAGCCCAAGAAGGAGACCUCCAAGGACAAGAAGGAGCGGAAGCAAGCCAUGCAGGAGGCCCGGCAGCAGAUCACCACAGUGGUGCUGCCCACGCUGGCCGUGGUUGUGCUCUUGAUCGUGGUGUUUGUGUACGUGGCCACACGCCCCACCAUCACCGAGUGAGCCCUGCAGCCAGCCGUGGACCCCAUCGGCAGGGAGAGGAGGCGCGGGAGGGGGACGCAAACAAAAAAUGGCUUUCAUAUUCAGAGAUGUUCAUGUUGCUGAGCUGUAAGCAGGAGCACCCUGUCUUCUCUGGUCUUUGACUUGAUUAAAGUAUCUCCGCUUUCUUGGGAGGGAACAGGGGAUGUUUUAUCGGUGAAUGUGCCAUACACCUUAUGGUCCACUUCAUGUGCCUUUCAGACUUAAAAGCGCGCGCGCGCGUGUGUGUGUGUGCGUGCGCGCUUCUUCUCUCCUAAAAAUCGAUAAGUAGCUCCAUCUGAGGAGGGGCGGAGCCUCUGGGUCAGGAAGCAGCUGGAAUCCACACUCACCUCAUUCCCAUUGUUUGGAUCAUGCCUCUUUCCAACACGUGUUCACAAUCUCCAAAGGGACUAUGUUUCUUCUCUGUGCUUAAUGUGAUUUGAAAUAUGUUGAAUCAAAGUGAAAUAUUUAUUUUUUGAAUAAAGGAGAUAAUAGCCUUAAACUGGAUGUUUAUCAUGUUUUGCAAAGGAGGUGCUGUCUGUGGGUCUCCCCCUGCCCACGGGGGUCUGCCCCUCUUCCCUCCCCUUCGCUUUCUCCUGUGGCUCUCUCCGCCUUCCCCAGCACUCCCUCUGCUCAUCAU